rnacentral:rRNA from 1 species
ACUACAUGUACAGGAUAGGUGGGAGGCUUUGAAACCAGGACGCCAGUUUUGGCGGAGCCAUCCUUGGGAUACCACCCUUGUAGUACUGGGACUCUAACCAUAGGCCAUGAAUCUGGUCUUGGGACACUGUCAGGUGGGCAGUUUGACUGGGGCGGUCGCCUCCCAAAAGGUAACGGAGGCGCCCAAAGGUUCUCUCAGUACGGUCGGAAAGCGUACGUAGAGUGUAAAGGCAAAAGAGAGCUUGAUUGCAAGACAUACAGGUCGAGCAAGGAUGAAAAUCGGACUUAGUGAUCCGGUGGUUCUGCGUGGAAGGGCCAUCGC